GACAGAGGAUGCAAGCGUUAUCCGGAAUGAUUGGGCGUAAAGCGUCUGUAGGUGGCUUUUUAAGUCCGCCGUCAAAUCCCAGGGCUCAACCCUGGACAGGCGGUGGAAACUACCAAGCUGGAGUACGGUAGGGGCAGAGGGAAUUCCGGGUGUAGCGGUGGAAUGCGUAGAGAUCCGGAAGAACACCGGUGGCGAAGGCGGUCUGCUGGGCAGUAGCUGACACUGAGGCGCGACAGCGUGGGGAGCAAACAGG
rnacentral:rRNA from 1 species